GGGGUUGUGGCUCAGUGGCAGAGCACUUGCCUAACAUGUGUGAGGCACUGGGUUCAAUUCUCAGCACCA
rnacentral:tRNA from 1 species